rnacentral:rRNA from 1 species
GACGAACGCUGGCGGCGUGCCUAAUACAUGCAAGUAGAACGCUGAAGGAGGAGCUUGCUCUUCUGGAUGAGUUGCGAACGGGUGAGUAACGCGUAGGUAACCUGCCUGGUAGCGGGGGAUAACUAUUGGAAACGAUAGCUAAUACCGCAUAAGAGUAGAUGUUGCAUGACAUUUGCUUAAAAGGUGCAAUUGCAUCACUACCAGAUGGACCUGCGUUGUAUUAGCUAGUUGGUGGGGUAACGGCUCACCAAGGCGACGAUACAUAGCCGACCUGAGAGGGUGAUCGGCCACACUGGGACUGAGACACGGCCCAGACGCCUACGGGAGGCAGCAGUAGGGAAUCUUCGGCAAUGGACGGAAGUCUGACCGAGCAACGCCGCGUGAGUGAAGAAGGUUUUCGGAUCGUAAAGCUCUGUUGUAAGAGAAGAACGAGUGUGAGAGUGGAAAGUUCACACUGUGACGGUAUCUUACCAGAAAGGGACGGCUAACUACGUG